GACGAACGCUGGCGGCGUGCCUAAUACAUGCAAGUAGAACGCUGAAGGAGGAGCUUGCUUCUCUGGAUGAGUUGCGAACGGGUGAGUAACGCGUAGGUAACCUGCCUGGUAGCGGGGGAUAACUAUUGGAAACGAUAGCUAAUACCGCAUAAGAGUAGAUGUCGCAUGACAUUUGCUUAAAAGGUGCAAUUGCAUCACUACCAGAUGGACCUGCGUUGUAUUAGCUAGUUGGUGAGGUAACGGCUCACCAAGGCAACGAUACAUAGCCGACCUGAGAGGGUGAUCGGCCACACUGGGACUGAGACACGGCCCAGACUCCUACGGGAGGCAGCAGUAGGGAAUCUUCGGCAAUGGACGGAAGUCUGACCGAGCAACGCCGCGUGAGUGAAGAAGGUUUUCGGAUCGUAAAGCUCUGUUGUAAGAGAAGAAUGAGUGUGAGAGUGGAAAGUUCACACUGUGACGGUAUCUUACCAGAAAGGGACGGCUAACUACGUG
rnacentral:rRNA from 1 species